CCCUUAGAUGUUCUGGGCCGCACGCGCGCUACACUGAUGCAUUCAACGAGCCUAUCCCUGACCGACAGGUCCGGGUAAUCUUUGAAUCUGCAUCGUGACGGGGAUAGAUUAUUGCAAUUAUUAAUCUUCAACGAGGAAUGCCUAGUAGGCGCAAGUCAUCAGCUUGCGUCGAUUACGUCCCUGCCCUUUGUACACACCGCCCGUCGCUCCUACCGAUUGGGUGUGCUGGUGAAAUGUUCGGAUCGGCCGUUUGUCGCGGUUUCCGCGUCAUGUGGCUGAGAAGUUCAUUAAACCCUCCCACCUAGAGGAAGGAGAAGUCGUAACA
rnacentral:rRNA from 1 species